rnacentral:rRNA from 1 species
AUUGAACGCUGGCGGCAGGCCUAACACAUGCAAGUCGAACGGUAACAGGAAACAGCUUGCUGUUUCGCUGACGAGUGGCGGACGGGUGAGUAAUGUCUGGGAAACUGCCUGAUGGAGGGGGAUAACUACUGGAAACGGUAGCUAAUACCGCAUAACGUCGCAAGACCAAAGAGGGGGACCUUCGGGCCUCUUGCCAUCGGAUGUGCCCAGAUGGGAUUAGCUAGUAGGUGGGGUAACGGCGCACCUAGGCGACGAUCCCUAGCUGGUCUGAGAGGAUGACCAGCCACACUGGAACUGAGACACGGGCCAGACUCCUACGGGAGGCAGCAGUGGGGAAUAUUGCACAAUGGGCGCAAGCCUGUUGCAGCCAUGCCGCGUGUAUGAAGAAGGCCUUCGGGUUGUAAAGUACUUUCAGCGGGGAGGAAGGGAGUAAAGUCAAUACCUUUGCUCAUUGACGUUACCCGCAGAAGAAGCACCGGCUAACUCCGUGCCAGCCGCCGCGGUAA